AUGAAGGUCAUACUUAGAGCAAACACCCUGGAGAGGCUGCAGGAGAGAACGAGCCACAUUGAGGGAAAUGCCACCGGGCCUGCUGCCCUCUGCUCGCCCACGGCCACGUCCAGAGCUGGCCGGGGGACGGCGGAUCCAUCCCCGCCAUUGCCGAGCCGUCUCAUCCCUCACCCCGUGUUAUUCCUAAUCCCGCCUCACCCCUCACACCGCUUCACCCAUCCCGCCUCACCCCUCACACCGCUUCAUCCAUCCCGCCUCACACCGCUUCAUCCAUCCCGCCCCACACCGCUCCAUCCAUCCCGCCUCAUCCCUCACACCGCUCCAUCCAUCCCGCCUCACCCCUCACACCCCUUCAUCCAUCCGGCCCCACACCGCUUCAUCCAUCCCGCCUCAUCCCUCACACCGCUCCAUCCAUCCCGCCUCACCCCUCACACCCCUUCAUCCAUCCGGCCCCACACCGCUUCAUCCAUCCCGCCUCAUCCCUCACACCGCUCCAUCCAUCCCGCCUCACCCCUCACACCCCUUCAUCCAUCCGGCCCCACACCGCUUCAUCCAUCCCGCCUCAUCCCUCACACCGCUCCAUCCAUCCCGCCUCACCCCUCACACCCCUUCAUCCAUCCGGCCCCACACCGCUUCAUCCAUCCCGCCUCAUCCCUCACACCGCUCCAUCCAUCCCGCCUCACCCCUCACACCCCUUCAUCCAUCCGGCCCCACACCGCUUCAUCCAUCCCGCCUCAUCCCUCACACCGCUCCAUCCAUCCCGCCUCACCCCUCACACCACUUCAUCCAUCCGGCCCCACACCGCUUCAUCCAUCCCGCCUCAUCCCUCACACCGCUCCAUCCAUCCUGCCCCACACCGCUCCCCCCCCCCCCCCCCCCCCCCCCCCCCCCCCCCCCCCCCCCCCCCCCCCCCCCCCCCCCCCCCCCCCCCCCCCCCCCCCCCCCCCCCCCCCCCCCCCCCCCCCCCCCCCCCCCCCCCCCCCCCCCACACCGCUUCAUCCAUCCCGCCUCACCCCUCACACCGCUUCAUCCAUCCCGCCUCACACCGCUUCAUCCAUCCCGCCCCACACCGCCUCAUCCAUCCCGCCUCACACCGCUCCAUCCAUCAUCCCUCAUCCCGUCUCAUUCCGCUUUCUCUCACACCGCCUCAUCCAGCUCUACUCCUCACACCGCUCCAUCCCUCAUUUCGCUUCAUCCCUCUUUAAUCCUCACCCUCCUCACACCCCUCAGGCCGCCUCACCCCGCCCCCCGCCCCGCUUCAUCCAUCCCGCCUCACCCCUCACACAGCUUCAUCCAUCCCACCUCACCCCUCACACCGCUCCAUCCCUCAUCCCGUCUCAUUCCGCUUUCUCUCACACCGCCUCAUCCAGCUUUACUCCUCACACCGCUCCAUCCCUCAUUUCGCCUCAUCCCUCUUUACUCCUCACCCUCCUCACACCCCUCAGGCCGCCUCACCCCGCCCCCCGCCGGUUGCCAGGGAGCCGCCGUUGCCAUGGGAGGCGGCGGCGCGCAUGCGCCCGCCCGCGGGAGUGCCCGGAUGCAGCGGGAGGAGGCGCUGCCGCCAUAUUUGCCCGGAGAGCAGCGAGCUGGUAG
rnacentral:lncRNA from 1 species